CGGCAACAGCUCAAAUUUGAAAUCUGGCUCUCGGGCCCGAGUUGUAAUUUGUAGAGGAUACUUUUGAUGCGGUGCCUUCCGAGUUCCCUGGAACGGGACGCCAUAGAGGGUGAGAGCCCCGU
rnacentral:rRNA from 1 species